rnacentral:rRNA from 1 species
UACGUAGGGGGCAAGCGUUGUCCGGAAUCAUUGGGCGUAAAGAGCGUGUAGGCGGCCCGGUAAGUCCGCUGUGAAAGUCCAGGGCUCAACCCUGGGAUGCCGGUGGAUACUGCCGGGCUAGAGUCCGGGAGAGGCGAGUGGAAUUCCUGGUGUAGCGGUGGAAUGCGCAGAUAUCAGGAGGAACACCUAAGGCGAAGGCAGCUCGCUGGAACGGUACUGACGCUGAGGCGCGAAAGCGUGGGGAGCAAACAGG